rnacentral:rRNA from 1 species
UACGUAGGGGGCGAGCGUUGUCCGGAGUGAUUGGGCGUAAAGGGCCCGCAGGCGGCCAGCCGCGUUUGAGGUAACAGCUCCCGGCUUCACUGGGAGAGCGCCUUGAAGACGGGUUGGCUCAGAGGAUGAGAGAGGGACACCGAAUUCCGGGUGGAGUGGUGAAAUGCGUAGAGAUCCGGAGGAAGACCGAAGGCGAAGGCCGUGUCCUGGCUCAUACCUGACGCUGAGGGGCGAAAGCUAGAGGAGCGAACGG